rnacentral:rRNA from 1 species
UACGUAGGGGGCAAGCGUUGUCCGGAAUUAUUGGGCGUAAAGCGCGCGCAGGCGGUUCGUUAAGUCUGAUGGUAAAGCCCGGGGCUCAACCCCGGUAUUCAUUGGAAACUGGCGGACUGGAGUGCAGGAGAGGGAAGCGGAAUUCCACGUGUAGCGGUGAAAUGCGUAGAGAUGUGGAGGAACACCAGUGGCGAAGGCGGCUUCCUGGCCUGUAACUGACGCUGAGGCGCGAAAGCGUGGGGAGCAAACAGG